AUCCAAGAGGGAAUCCAAGUCCAGGUCGCGAUCCAAGAGUCCUCCCAAGUCUCCUGAAGGGGAAAAAGGACAAGUGCCCUCCUAGGAAAAUGAUCAUCAGCUAACGCGUGAUGGAGGACUUGGGGAAAAGGACUCCAUACUCAGUCCAUGGAAGCAGAGUCACUGGAAGAAGCGACUGCGUAAUGAAACGGCCCGGCUGCAUAGCAGUUGAGUGAUGCUGGUUAGCUGUUAAGGUGGCCUGUUGCAGUGCAGAGUGCUGAGCUGUUUCCUGUUUUCUUCUGAUUGCUCCUGAAAAAAGAAGCCCUGUCCUGAAGAACAAAUGGCUGUUCAGUUUAUUAAAAUGCCUGUCAACUGCCCUUCCAGUCACCCAGGCCUGGAAGAGAAAUAAUAGAGCAUGCAGUGAGCACAUCUAGCUGAUAUGAUAAUCACACCUCUUCCCCCUCCCUAUUCUGUUAAAUGGCAAAUCUGAUCAUGUCAACAUACAUGAACUUAAAAUAUGGGGAAUGUUAUGGAAGAAAUGGUUUGUAACUGUAGGUACUUACAACAUGGUGUAUGUUUUUGAUUAUGAAUAUUUCUUACUAUAACCGUGUUUCUAUCAUUGAAUUAAAAUGUUUUCUUGGUGUUACCUUUUCUCAAAAUAAAACUAGAAAUAUUUUG
ensembl:lncRNA novel transcript